UACAGAGGGGGCAAGCGUUGUUCGGAAUUACUGGGCGUAAAGGGCGCGUAGGCGGCCUGCUAAGUCGAACGUGAAAUCCCUGGGCUCAACCCAGGAACUGCGUUCGAUACUGGUUGGCUUGAAUCCGGGAGAGGGAUGUGGAAUUCCAGGUGUAGCGGUGAAAUGCGUAGAUAUCAGGAGGAACACCGGUGGCGAAGGCGCCACUCUGGGCCGAAACUGACGCUGAGGAGCGAAAGCGUGGGUAGCAAACAGG
rnacentral:rRNA from 1 species